GGGACGGCGGGAAGGCCGUGGAAGCAACACUCAUGAGUCCCAAAGGAAUGGCGAUUGAUAAGAACGGAUUAAUCUACUUUGUUGAUGGAACCAUGAUUAGAAAAGUUGAUCAAAAUGGAAUCAUAUCGACUCUCCUGGGCUCUAAUGAUCUGACUUCAGCCAGACCCUUAACUUGUGACACCAGCAUGCACAUCAGCCAGGUACGUCUGGAAUGGCCCACUGACCUCGCCAUUAACCCUAUGGAC